rnacentral:lncRNA from 1 species
GGGCGGGCCGAGGGGUAGGGGCGAAGCUGGAGCGAGUUCCAAGAGACCCUGAGACCAAGCAGCCGGGAAGGCUGCUGCCCCUGUCCUCUGCCUGCCGCCUCUCCUGCUCUUUCCUUCACUGUAAAGGGAUACAGAUGCUUGGCUUUGAGAGUUGUGUUAGAGAAACUUAAGUCAAUUUUUUGUAAACUUGUUCCUUUCUCGAGGAUUUCCCUCCUGGCAGGAUUUCAACUUUCUCUCAUGGGGCAGUGUAAUUAGGGGUGAUUUCCUUGCUCUUCAGAGGGGAGAAUGAACUGGAGUAAAUUUGGUUUCUCUUCUCUUUCAUUCUUCCGCGUAAACAGAGAUUAGGCUUUACCUGUGCUGGGGCAUAGAGGAGGGUUUCCCAGGCGUGGCACUGUUGAUAUUUGGGGCCAGAUAAUUUUCUGUUGCAGGGUCGGGGGGUGGGCUGUCCUGUGCACUGUAGGAUGUUUAGCAACAUCCCUGGCCUCAACCCAGGUAAAGUGUGGAAGUGUAGAUGCCUGUGGUACCUCCCAGUCAUGCCAACCAGAAAUGUCUCCAGAUAUUGCCAGAUGUCCCCUGGGGAGCAGAGUCGCCUCCGUCGAGGCUUCGAGGAAGCAUGUGGAAAAGAUGCGCACCUGUUGGGAGGGAUGGAAACCAGGGUGCCAUGCAUGCUUCCUUUAGCCUGAGGAAGGACCAGGCAGCCACCAGCUUCUGGGACCAGGUCCUCCUCUGGCUGGACCUGCCCAGAGCCAUGGCCGUUUUCUCCGGCUGCUCCCCUGCUUCCUCUCGGCCCUGACUGCGUCUCUCUUGCCUCUGCAGUGUCUCUGCCUCUCACCUGGGAGCCGCUUCUCCUCGGUUUGCUCCUUACAGCCAGGACAGAAGGGGGAAGGCCGGAAGUAGACAGCACCGCGGCCAGCCGCCCUGCUGCUCCCUGGAAGGGGGGGAGGAGGGACAGGUCACUGCCACCGCUGCUGCUUCUGUCAGCCUCAGGAACUCUGCCCUUAUUUCUGCUUUAUGGUGAGCAGCCUUCCUUCCAGCUUGUACCCUGAUAACAUGUUCCCUCUUGGCCUUCAUCCUUACAAUCAGGCCUCUCCUGAUCCUGGGGAAGGAGUCUGAGGGUUGAGUCCUGUUUGGUCCAUCAGCCCAUGGGGGCGCAGCUGGACUUGCCUGCCCGGGUCCUUCAGGAACACCCCCUGCCUCCCUUGUGCUGGGUUUCUUCCCAAACUGAACCCCUGGAUUCUAGCUGCCAAGCAGCCAGCCCUGAGUAUUUUCAAGAGGGAAGUAAUUUUGCUUCCAGAUUAGUUUCUAACCCUUCUCUCCAUAACUCACCUUUUCUCUCUCUAGAAUAUUUGUGGUGCCAGGGAGUUUUUUUGCUUGUUUGCUUGUUUUCGUUUCAUCGUUGUCCUGAACACCCGUGCAUACCUGAACCAGCCUCUUACCAGAUACUGUGCCACACGGCGAGCGAGCUGGGCCUAGUGAGGUGCCUGCGUG